UACGUAGGGUGCGAGCGUUUGUCCGGAAUUACUGGGCGUAAAGAGUUCGUAGGCGGUUUGUCGCGUCGUUCGUGAAAACUUGGGGCUUAACUCCAAGCGUGCGGGCGAUACGGGCAGACUUGAGUACUACAGGGGAGACGUGGAAUUCCUGGUGUAGCGGUGAAAUGCGCAGAUAUCAGGAGGAACACCGGUGGCGAAGGCGGGUCUCUGGGUAGUAACUGACGCUGAGGAACGAAAGCGUGGGUAGCGAACAGG
rnacentral:rRNA from 1 species